rnacentral:lncRNA from 1 species
CAGUAAAAGAACCAUGGAAACACCAAGUUUUAAGGGCAAUUGAGAAUUCAAUAUCGCAUUCCAAAACAAUAAAAUCGUUUCUUGGACCGAGAGCAGGUUUGGGAUAGCAUUUCCAUAUACAAAUCUCCAGAAACAGUAAUAGUAGCAAGAGGAAAUUGCCAGAAAACACGAAAACAACGCUUUCAAAUUGCUGAAAUUUUUACAACGAAAUGGUAUUUCUACAUGAAAACGCCUCUUGAUGAACAAAUACAGACCUUAAUUUGAAACCUGGUCUUAUUCUGAGCAUUCGAUUCUUGAAAUCCAGAUAUUGCAGCAAGAACUUAAAGUAGGAUUAACAACUAAUCUGACGUUAAUCCCAAGCUAAACCCAAGGAUAAACCUUUAAUCACCUCCAAACACAGAUUCUGAAUCAAAUGCACAAUUACAGUAUUAAUACUAACUAUGAAAUUUGAUGGAUUAAAAGCAGGAUUAACAACAUAUGCAUGGUAAUAAUCGAGAAUUAAAGAAGAAUGGCAGAGAGAGAACUCAAAGUUGAAACCUUUAUCCUAACCAUUUUCUGCUUUAGUUUCAGAAGAACCCAGAAACAAAAACAUAAGAAAUCGGAUCCAAAACAACAAAAAACCCAUAUUUUAGAGAGAGAGAGAGAGAGGAUUACCAGAAGCAAUCUUUGAGGGAAGAAUAUGAGGGAGAUAACCGGAGCUAGAAGGGAAGGAGUACAUGGGUCUCUCAAAGCAACGGCGUGAGAGAGUGGUGAUGGACUGAGUCACUGAGGUUUGGGGGGUUUACUAUUGAAAUUACACAAAAGUUCUCAAUAAACGGGUGAAAUGGGUGAUUAACGGGUUUCGCAGGUUCACCCAAAAUGACCCGUUAUUUAACGGGUCAUUAACGGGUUGACCGUUAACCACCCGACCCAUUUAUUACUCACCCGAAAUCUAAUUUUAACGGGUCGGGUUGAAAAUGCCAGGUCUACCCAUGACCCACCUCACCUAAAAACCCAUAUCACUCCCUCCGCACCCACCCUCCUCCCUCCUCUACACACCCCCCACUCCUUAAAUCCACACCCAUUCCUCCCAACUCAUGAACCCGGCGAUGGCGGUGUAGACGGGAUCUGGGGAUUUUUUUUUUUUGUUUUUUUUUCUGGGUUGCAGGUAGGGGGUCGGGGGGAAGAGAGAGGAAGAUGGGGGGUGAAGACGAACUGAAGGGCUUUUUGUUUUUUUUUUCUGGGUUGCAGGGGGAAGAAGAUGAAGAUGGGGAGAUAGGGGAGAAGAGAUGAGGAGGGGGGAUAAGGUUUCUGGGUUUGGGGGUUGCAGGGAGAAGAGAUGAGGAAGAGGGGGGAUUUUUAUUUUUUUUUUAAUUUAGAAGAUUUAGGUUUUUUUUUUUAAAAAAUAAAACAAUAUUUUUUUUGUCACGUGGCACAAAUGUGGCAGCCACGUCAGCGCUUAACGGAUCAAUGGAUGAAAAUCUAACGGAGGUAUUAUUUUGAAAUAAAAUAAUACGUGAGG